AAGAAAGCUAUUGGCUCUGUUCUGAUGCUUCUCAUAUGGGAAAUAUGGAAGGAGCGAAACGCGAGAGUUUUUCGCAACACGGCUUCACCGACCACUAUUAUCACUGCCAAGAUCAAAGAGGAGGCCCAUCUUUGGGCGUUGGCGGAAGCCAAACACAUGAGUGCAAUUAUUUCACGAGAGUAG
rnacentral:rRNA from 1 species